CAUCACCCGUUAUACAGCUGGUUCAAUGAUUGAUUUUAGAUUGCAAUACCACAGAUCUGCACUAAGUCAACAAGCAAAUGGUAGAAGAAAGGUAUUUAUAAAGAACCUACUUCAUAUAGCAAAGUUCUAAUCCACAUGGACACAAAUUCAUGUUGCAUUGUGCUGGAUUUCCUUUAGCAAGUCAAUUAUUUUUGCUUUCAAGGAACGCUUUAUUUCAUUUGGGUCUCUCAGAACUUCUGUAGACAGCAAACAUCAAAAGGACCAAAGAUUUUUAUAGUGAUUCAGCUGCCCACAGCAAUGAAGUAAACCCUGAUUUUCUUUCAGCCUAGGAAAUGAUC